UGACUUUUAAAACUUAGUCGAAGCAUGUAACACAAAUCGAAAUUUUACUUUAAAUAUAGAAAUAUUAUAAACAAAAAAUUGGAAGUCGUUAAAACAAAAGUAAUGUUUUUUUCUUCUCGCGUACUUUUUGGUCACUUUCAGCACUGUGUCCUAGUUUUGCCAACAAGUCCUGAUUAAGUUCUCCAAAUUUAAUUGUUACCCAACAUAUUCAUUACUUAAGAAAGGAUGCGGUUUUUAUAAGUUGUCCCGGAAUUCAAAGAAAGCCGGAAACUGAACCUCAUCACCCGGAUGAUCCAGCCUAGAGAAAGAAUUUUUACAAUCCAGUCAUGUCUUUCCUGGACUCUACAAAUUUCUUGCCAUUUUCAAAUUCUUUUAGUAAGUAUACAUUUUGAAAGGACAUUUUGGAAAAUGGUAUGUAUAUAUCUGUUAGAAAUAUUAUAAAACGAUUUUUCGGUUUGUUCUCCAAAUUGUUUACAAAAAGUCGCUAAAAGUCGGAAACUAAAACUUAUUAUCGCGAUUUAAUCUAAUCUAUGGACAAGAAACAUAUGAAAAGAAAAAGUUUUGGAAAUUGUACAAAAUUUAAUCGAGUAGAAAAAAGAUUUUUUAAGCCGAUAUAAACGUUUUCAACUGAAAUUCUAAACAAUCCCAAGGACGAAUCAUUCCCCAACUAUAAUUCAAUGGGUGUUGGCCAAACGCGAAAAUGUUACCUAAGCAAUUGUGCCAAAAUUAAGUUUUCCAAAUUUAUGUAAUUGUUAUCUAAAAAAACAAACAUCUUUUGGACAAAGUACAAAAUUGAAUCGCCAAAAAAAAAGUGCGCUAAAUUAAAUCAAAAUCGAUGAAAGUCGAAAACUAAAACUGAUUAUUGCGAUCUAGUCUGGGGACAACAAAUAAGUUUAAAGGAAAAAGUUGUGUUUGGAAUUUACACACACCGAUUAACCGAGUGAUCAUAUCAGUCCCCAAUUCCAAACCACUUUCUAUGGUUUAUGGCUGAUUGGAAAAAUCCAAAUAUUGCUAUCUAAGCUGAUCUAAAAGUCGGAAACUAAAAAU